GCUCUUCUCUAAUCGUGGGAGCGUUGGGAGCUGUGGACAUCACACGCAUGUCAGCGGAGCAGCAGAUACCAUUAGGACGACAAUUUGGAGAUGCCACGGGAAAUAUUCCUGAGCUUUCUCAGAAAUUCCCCAGUCGGCACACAAUCUCGUCCCUACGCUCAGAUUUUCUGGUUUUUCCUCUGAGGCUAUGUGGAGAUUAACGGUGAUGUUUAAGGACAAGAAGAAUAACCGAAACAGGAGAUAUUGAUGUAAAAGAAAUUGAGAGCAUACUGUGAAACUGCCACGAUCUUCUCGAGUGGACUUCCAUGUAGAGCGUACUUUUCAUUACAGGUCAGUUGACAGUUGCCUCGGAGAUUCACAAACACUGUGUGCGAUAGAAUCAGCUGGGGAUCUUUCCCAGGAAAACUCUAGAUGUCUGGGCACAUCCUCUGGCAUUCUAGUUAAGGAGCUGCCAUUGGCAGAGCCACAGUAAUUUGCAUUUGAACGAGCAACGCAUGUUUUUAAGUCUCCGGGUGAUGAAUGACUAGUAUGGUCGGGACCAGCAUUUCAAAUAUCAAUCUCGCUUUAAUCUUUGAGUCCAUGGACAUCUGUCAUGCUUGAAUGUCACUCAGACCCUUUUGUCCCUUCUUACCUCGAUGGAACUCCCCAGGCAGAGGCCAAAACUCAGUCCCCACGGAAGCAGAAGAAUAUUCAUAUUUCGUGUUGCUGUGUAUUUAACAGCCUGGCCCGGUCACAUCGAACCCCAGCAAGAAGCGCAUCAAUGAUAAUAAAAGAUAAUAAAAAAGAAAAACGAACGUGCACGCAGAUGCUUUCCAAAAGAAUCAACGCUCACGGAAACCAAAAACAAGUGUCCUUUGAAAAAAAGGAAAAUCGAACGGUCACGACCACCGCAUUCUCCUCUGUCACCACCGGGUGGCGACAGAGAGCACGCCGGGAAAAAAAAACUUCCUCCGAGGGGUCGGAUUGCCCAAUUUCUUCUGUAGCUGUUUUCUGUCACAUAAUUGUCUACGAGUUUACCUCCAAAACUUAUUGAUUGCAUUCCCGUCUGUGUGUUUCUUCUUUGAGUCCUUUUUUGUCUGUGAUUUCUUUAUCUCUAAACUGUUUCUUUUCAGGUCUGCGUCCUCUUCUGCAAAACGAAUCUUACCGGAAAUUAGAUAAUGCUGCUGAUUUUGCUGGCUGUGCUUUUAGAAACUCAAGAUUUCUUGGCUUGCUUCGGAAAUGAGCUCAGCACCUCAGUUUUAAAGAAAAGAAUCUGAAAAUAGCUUCUUGUUCUCCUUGGUGUGCUCUAAUGGUUUUACUUUUCUGCUUUCCCCUAACCAGGCUCCUGGGCUCAGCGCUCUGCAAUCCAAUCUCACUGUGGACUCCUGUCUCAUCUCUGUGUCUCUGAGGCACCUGUCUGGUGUGAUAAUAGAAUGAGUGGAGUACGGGUCCUCUUAACGACUGACUUGUUCCAGAACCUCAGAACUGAAGUCUGCCAAAAGCUAUGAUGCCAGGCAGACAUCGGCAAUACUCUCUUCCCGUCCCUCGUAAUGAAUAAGAAGCCUUCUGCAGUCUGUGGCGCUGAGGCACAGGCCUGGUUUCUGCCUUCCAUCCGAUCCAAAGCAAUUCCAGAUUCUUCCAGGAUGUUUUUUAGGCACAGGCAUCGGAACUGCAGGCAUGCCCGUAUCUCUUCAACCAUGCCUGUGCUUCCAGCCACAGUUGUGGCAUUGCACUUUCAUGCCAUUCCUGCUUCACCGAAAUGCUGCUCUCAUUUCACUCUUCACCGUUGGAGUCCAUGUCUAUUAAUGGUGUAUGUCUGCAGCGGAGUGAGUGCUACAAAAGAUGGACUCUACCUAUAAUCAUGGCCCAAACUGGAAUACCUUUUAUUACUAUCCUCUAGCUCCUGAAAGGAAACCCCAGGCCGUGAAAUUCAAGCUGCAGCUGAGUAAGGGUGCUUCUCAGCCAUUCGGUAUUCCUCAGGUGAUAGCCCAAAAAACUUAGAAUACCCAAGAUACAAGAUACAAUUUGCAAAACACAUGAAACUCAAGAAGAACGAAGACCAAAGUGUGGACACUUUGCCCCUUCUCAGAACUGGGAACAAAACACCCAUGGAAGGAGUUACAGAGACAAAGUUUGGAGCUGAGACGAAAGGUGGACCAUCUAGAGACUGCCUUAUCCAGGGAUCCACCCCAUAAUCAGCUUCCAAACGCUGACACCAUUGCACACACCAGCAAGAUUUUAUCGAAAGGACCCAGAUAUAGCUGACGAAAUCCAGGCCCAUCCAUGUUCCUGAAAAUGUGAAGACUCCAUUCUUUUUAUGGCAGAAUACAAUUCCCAUAUGUGUAUAUACCAUAUUCUUAAAAUCCACUCUUCUGUCAAGGGAACUUUAGGUUGAUUCUAUAUCUUAGCUAUUGUAAAUAGUAUAGCAAUAAAUAUGGCUGAGCAAGUA